CAUGUACUCCCUCCGUUCCGAAUUACUUGUCUUGGAUUUGUCUAGAUACGGAUGUAUCUAGACUCAUUUUAUUGCUAGAUACCUCCGUAUCUAGACAAAUCUAAGACAAGUAAUUUGGAACGGAGGGAGUACAGU
rfam:Triticum urartu cultivar G1812 contig597629, whole genome shotgun sequence.